CACGUAGGGGGCGAGCGUUGUCCGGAUUUAUUGGGCGUAAAGAGCUCGUAGGCGGCUCGGUAAGUCAGGUGUGAAAACUCUAGGCUCAACCUAGAGACGCCACCUGAUACUGCUGUGGCUAGAGUCCGGUAGGGGAGCAUGGAAUUCCUGGUGUAGCGGUGAAAUGCGCAGAUAUCAGGAGGAACACCAAUUGCGAAGGCAGCUCGCUGGGACGUUACUGACGCUGAGACGCGAAAGCGUGGGGAGCAAACAGG
rnacentral:rRNA from 1 species